GACGUAGGGCGCGAGCGUUGUCCGGAUUUAUUGGGCGUAAAGAGCUCGUAGGCGGCUUGUUGCGUCAGCUGUGAAAACCCGCAGCUCAACUGUGGGCUUGCAGCUGAUACGGGCAGGCUUGAGUUCGGUAGGGGGAGACUGGAAUUCUCGGUGUAGCGGUGAAAUGCGUAGAUAUCGAGAGGAACACCUGCGGCGAAGGCGGGUUGCUGGGCUGACACUGACGCUGAGGAGCGAAAGCGUGGGGGAGCGAACAGG
rnacentral:rRNA from 1 species